AGCGAACGUUGGCGGCAGGCUUAACACAUGCAAGUCGAGCGGGCAUAGCAAUAUGUCAGCGGCAGACGGGUGAGUAACGCGUGGGAACGUACCUUUUGGUUCGGAACAACACAGGGAAACUUGUGCUGAUACCGGAUAAGCCCUUACGGGGAAAGAUUUAUCGCCGAAAGAUCGGCCCGCGUCUGAUUAGCUAGUUGGUGAGGUAAUGGCUCACCAAGGCGACGAUCAGUAGCUGGUCUGGGAGGAUGAUCAGCCACAUUGGGACUGAGACACGGCCCAAACUCCUACGGGAGGCAGCAGUGGGGAAUAUUGGACAAUGGGCGCAAGCCUGAUCCAGCCAUGCCGCGUGAGUGAUGAAGGCCCUAGGGUUGUAAAGCUCUUUUGUGCGGGAAGAUAAUGACGGUACCGCAAGAAUAAGCCCCGGCUAACUUCGUGCCAGCAGCCGCCGUAA
rnacentral:rRNA from 1 species